rnacentral:rRNA from 1 species
UACGUAGGGGGCAAGCGUUGUCCGGAUUUAUUGGGCGUAAAGAGCGUGUAGGCGGCCAAUCAGGUCAGCUGUGAAAACUCGAGGCUCAACCUCGAGACGUCGGUUGAAACCGUUUGGCUAGAGUCCGGAAGAGGAGAGUGGAAUUCCCGGUGUAGCGGUGAAAUGCGUAGAUAUCGGGAAGAACACCCGUGGCGAAGGCGGCUCUCUGGGACGGUACUGACGCUGAGACGCGAAAGCGUGGGGAGCGAACAGG